UACGGAGGGUGCAAGCGUUAUCCGGAUUUACUGGGUUUAAAGGGUGCGUAGGCGGACUAUUAAGUCAAAUGUGAAAGCUUGCAGCUUAACUGUAAGAUUGCGUUUGAUACUGGUAGUCUUGAAUAUGGUAGAAGUUGGCGGAAUAAAUCAUGUAGCGGUGAAAUGCUUAGAUAUGAUUUAGAACACCGAUUGCGAAGGCAGCUAGCUAUGUCAUAAUUGACGCUGAGGCACGAAAGCGUGGGGAUCAAACAGGAUUAGAUACCCUGGUAGUCCACGCCCUAAACGAUGAAUACUCGUUGUUGGCGAUAUACAGUCAGCGACUAAGCGAAAGCGUUAAGUAUUCCACCUGGGGAGUACGUUCGCAAGAAUG
rnacentral:rRNA from 1 species